rnacentral:sRNA from 12 species
CCCUGACUAUUGCACCCCGCAAUAGACACUAGCCACGACAGGAGUGACACAUG